rnacentral:rRNA from 1 species
UACGAAUGGAGCGAGCGUUGUUCGGAAUCACUGGGCGUAAAGCGUGCGCAGGCGGUUUUGAAAGUUAGAAGUGAAAGCCCAGGGCUUAACCCUGGAAUUGCUUUUAAAACUCCAAGACUAGAGUACUGGAGAGGUUGGCGGAAUUCCGAGUGUAGCAGUGAAAUGCGUAGAUAUUCGGAGGAACACCGAUGGCGUAGGCAGCCAACUGGACAGUUACUGACGCUCAUGCACGAAAGCGUGGGAAUCAAACAGG